rnacentral:rRNA from 1 species
GAUACGCGAGGAACCUUACCUGGACUAGAAUGCCCAUGACCGGUACAGAGAUGUACUUUUCCGCAAGGACAUGGAGCAAGGUGCUGCAUGGCUGUCGUCAGCUCGUGCCGUGAGGUGUUGGGUUAAGUCCCGCAACGAGCGCAACCCUUAUUUUUAGUUGCCAGCACGUAAUGGUGGGGACUCUAAAAAGACUGCCCGCGCAAGCGGAGAGGAAGGAGGGGAUGACGUCAAGUCAUCAUGGCCUUUAUGCCCAGGGCUACACACGUGCUACAAUGGAGAGUACAAAGGGCUGCCACUUGGCAACAAGGCGCUAAUCCCAAAAAACUCUUCUCAGUUCAGAUUGGGGUCUGCAACUCGACCCCAUGAAGCUGGAAUCGCUAGUAAUCGUCAUAUCAGCAAUGAUACGGUGACAUACG